CAUAGCGACUAUCGUGGCAUAUCAAUAAGCGGAGGAAAAGAAACUAACAAGGAUUCCCCUUAGUAACGGCGAGUGAAGCGGGAAGAGCUCAAAUUUGAAAUCUUCAAGGUUUUACCUUGACGAAUUGUAGUUUAAAGAAGUGUUUUCUGUUGGAGUUUUGGUAAAAGUUCUUUGGAAUAGGACAUCAUAGAGGGUGAGAAUCCCGUAUUUGACCAUUAUUUUCAGCUGUGUGAUACACUUUCAAAGAGUCGGAUUGUUUGGGAAUGCAGUCCAAAAUGGGUGGUAAAUUUCAUCUAAAGCUAAAUAUUGGCGAGAGACCGAUAGCGAACAAGUACCGUGAGGGAAAGAUGAAAAGAACUUUGAAAAGAGAGUUAAACAGUACGUGAAAUUGUCAAAAGGGAAGCGUUUGACACCAGUGUUGUUUUCUCGAAAAUCAAUUAAAAAAGGCCGGAUUUUGUGUUGUAUUGACCUUAAAAGCUUUCUUCACUCUUUUCUUGUCUUUUUUAAUGCACUUUUCGUUUAACAAGUCAACAUCAGUUUCUUUUGUUGCUAAAAGGGUCAUUGGAAGGUGGCUUUCUUUUCGGAGAAAGUGUUUAUAGCCUUUGAUCUCUGCAACCGGAGAGACUGAGGUCUGCAGCGUAGACUCUUCGGGGUUAAAUACAUUUGUGCUAAGCUAUAGCUUUUUAUAGACGACUUGUUGACUAUAUUUAGUCUUGUGGCUUACUCGCUUAUGCUAUUUUACCUACGCUUAGGAUGUUGACGCGCGUGUGUGCGUG
rnacentral:rRNA from 1 species